GACGAACGCUGGCGGCGUGCUUAACACAUGCAAGUCGAACGGUAAGGCCCCAGCUUGCUGGGGUACACGAGUGGCGAACGGGUGAGUAACACGUGGGUGACCUGCCCCGCACUUCGGGAUAAGCCUGGGAAACUGGGUCUAAUACCGGAUAGGACUGCACCGUGAGGGUGGGGUGGAAAGUUUUUCGGUGUGGGAUGGGCCCGCGGCCUAUCAGCUUGUUGGUGGGGUAAUGGCCUACCAAGGCGGCGACGGGUAGCCGGCCUGAGAGGGUGGACGGCCACAUUGGGACUGAGACACGGCCCAGACUCCUACGGGAGGCAGCAGUGGGGAAUAUUGCACAAUGGGCGGAAGCCUGAUGCAGCGACGCCGCGUGGGGGAUGACGGCCUUCGGGUUGUAAACUCCUUUCACCAUCGACGAAGGUUUUCUGACGGUAGAUGGAGAAGAAGCACCGGCUAACUACGUG
rnacentral:rRNA from 1 species